rnacentral:tRNA from 1 species
AGUAAAGUGACUGAAUAUAGGUGAUAAAUUGUAAAUUUAUUUAUGGAUUAAAUCCUUUUACUG